GCGGGAAUAGCUCAGUUGGAAGAGUACAACCUUGCCAAGGUUGGGGUCGCGAGUUCGAGUCUCGUUUCCCGCU
rnacentral:tRNA from 1 species